rnacentral:lncRNA from 1 species
AGUUUCAAAGAUUAAAAUAUUCAAAGAAGCAAGAUAACAUGAAUAAAGUUUUAAAUAAUAAACGGAGGAUCUAAUGUUCGAAAAGAGGGUUUUCAGAUGUUGAAAUAUCAAUAGGCAAUUUACAAUCAGAUAGGAUCGGAAUUAGAAACAAAAACAAAGUUCGCCCUCUCUUAGGCAUUUUAUCGAACAUGUAAGGAGCGUUACAAGAAGCAUGCAGAAUAUGGAGGAUUUAUAUAACUAAAUCAGAUAGGAAUACAAGAUAAAAUGAUAGAUCGAAUAACACAUAUUUAGAUCAAAGCAAAUCAUAUUUUGAUAGUUUGAAAUUUCGAUCAUCAUGAGGCGAGUAUUCAAAAUAAUAAUAUAACGAUAAACAAGAAGGUUGGAUGAUCACAAGGUUCGAUAUAGAGGUAAAAUGAGGAAAAGAGAAAAACCUUUUCGAAAACGGUGAAGACGACGGCAAGAUUCCGUCGAUAGCGAACCAAAAAGAAAUAACGGCCAAUGAUGAUCGCGGCGGAGGCGGCUAUGGAUGACGGCGAUGAUCGGAUGGCGUCGCGCGCACACCCGCGGAACGGCAGAUCUCGUAUGAAUGCGGUGAGGAGGAGAGAGAGAGAGAGAGAGAGAGAGUCGUGCGGGAAAGGAGAAAAAGAGGUUUUGAUCGGAUGGGAGUUAGGGAAAAAAAUAAUUAAUUAAGUUAGGUAACAAAAUGCUGCCGAGUCCCUCGAAAAUCGAAAAUUAUGAAAAGGUCCAACUUAAAAAGAUAUGAGUCAAAACAAAAGGUUUAAAAGUAUGGGGUGUUACAAGAUCAAUGCACUUUCUUACUUUUAGUUUUCCAAUCACCUUCUAACUUGUCCAAAAACUUGUGCAAGCCCUUUAGAAUAUGUAGGAUAGUUCCACAUUGCAUUCCACACACUCGAACUCUGUAAUUUGCAAAAGUUCAGUGUAUUACAGUUAUGUAGUGGAGGAGUUGGGAUUGGUUGGAUCUGGAGAUGAAAUUGGGGAUGUAGAUGAGUGUGGGGAGAGAUCCCACCGAAUAAUUGGGGAUGUAGAUGAGUGUGGUGACGGCUUGAACCUGCAGCUCGCCUGCAGCGAAGCCCCUCGCGGGGGUGCUGAAGCCGCAGGCGGCGGAGGCGCGGGGCUUGCUCCCGAUGAAGACCAGUUGGCGGAGGUGCGGGGUUUGCUGGAGCUGCAGGUAGCGGAGGCGGAGGGAACGAAAAGCUAGGGUAACUGAGAGAGAAAAGUGAGAUGGGUCAGAGGUAAGGUAAAGAAUUUUUGCAGCUAUAAUUUAAUUAAGUUAUUUUUAAAUGUAAAUAGACAAUAAAGCCCCCACUAUUUAUGCAAUAUAUAUAGAGUAAGUAAGGGUAAAUUGGUCUUUAUGAAUAGAUUGUUGGUGAGUGCUGAAAAAAAAGGAGGAAAGAUGUGGCGCGCUAAAUAAGGAGAUAUCGUGGCGAC